UACGAAGGGGCUAGCGUUGCUCGGAAUCACUGGGCGUAAAGGGUGCGUAGGCGGGUUUUAAGUCAGAGGUGAAAUCCUGGAGCUCAACUCCAGAACUGCCUUUGAUACUGAGAAUCUUGAGUACGGGAGAGGUGAGUGGAACUGCGAGUGUAGAGGUGAAAUUCGUAGAUAUUCGCAAGAACACCAGUGGCGAAGGCGGCUCACUGGCCCGAUACUGACGCUGAGGCACGAAAGCGUGGGGAGCAAACAGG
rnacentral:rRNA from 1 species